rnacentral:rRNA from 1 species
UACAUAGGUAGCGAGCGUUAUCCGGAAUAACUGGGCGUAAAGGGAGUGUAGGUGGCGUUUCAAGUCUUAUGUGAAAGCCCUCGGCUUAACUGAGGGAUUGCAUAAGAAACUAGAAUGCUAGAGUGCGAGAGAGGCAAGUGGAAUUCCUAGUGUAGCGGUAGAAUGCGUAGAGAUUAGGAGGAACACCAGAGGCGAAGGCGACUUGCUGGUUCGCAACUGACACUGAGACUCGAAAGCGUGGGGAGCAAAC